GCUUAGUAUGUUGGAAUAGCUCAGCCAGUAGAGCAUGAGACUCUUAAUCUCAGCGUCGUGGGUUCAAGCCCCAUGUUGGGCA